rnacentral:rRNA from 1 species
GACGAACGUUGGCGGCGUGCUUAACACAUGCAAGUCGAACGGAAAGGCCCUGCUUUUGUGGGGUGCUCGAGUGGCGAACGAGUGAGUAACACGUGAGUAACCUGCCCUUGACUUUGGGAUAACUUCAGGAAACUGGGGCUAAUACCGGAUAGGAGCUCCUGCUGCAUGGUGGGGGUUGGAAAGUUUCGGCGGUUGGGGAUGGACUCGCGGCUUAUCAGCUUGUUGGUGGGGUAGUGGCUUACCAAGGCUUUGACGGGUAGCCGGCCUGAGAGGGUGACCGGCCACAUUGGGACUGAGAUACGGCCCAGACUCCUACGGGAGGCAGCAGUGGGGAAUAUUGCACAAUGGGCGGAAGCCUGAUGCAGCAACGCCGCGUGCGGGAUGACGGCCUUCGGGUUGUAAACCGCUUUCGCCUGUGACGAAGCGUGAGUGACGGUAAUGGGUAAAGAAGCACCGGCUAACUACGUGCCAGCAGCCGCGGUGAUACGUAGGGUGCGAGCGUUGUCCGGAUUUAUUGGGCGUAAAGGGCUCGUAGGUGGUUGAUCGCGUCGGAAGUGUAAUCUUGGGGCUUAACCCUGAGCGUGCUUUCGAUACGGGUUGACUUGAGGAAGGUAGGGGAGAAUGGAAUUCCUGGUGGAGCGGUGGAAUGCGCAGAUAUCAGGAGGAACACCAGUGGCGAAGGCGGUUCUCUGGGCCUUUCCUGACGCUGAGGAGCGAAAGCGUGGGGAGCGAACAGGCUUAGAUACCCUGGUAGUCCACGCUGUAAACGGUGGGUACUAGGUGUGGGGUCCAUUCCACGGGUUCCGUGCCGUAGCUAACGCUUUAAGUACCCCGCCUGGGGAGUACGGCCGCAAGGCUAAAACUCAAAGGAAUUGACGGGGCCCCGCACAAGCGGCGGAGCAUGCGGAUUAAUUCGAUGCAACGCGUAGAACCUUACCUGGGUUUGACAUGGAUCGGGAGUGCUCAGAGAUGGGUGUGCCUCUUUUGGGGUCGGUUCACAGGUGGUGCAUGGCUGUCGUCAGCUCGUGUCGUGAGAUGUUGGGUUAAGUCCCGCAACGAGCGCAACCCUUGUUCACUGUUGCCAGCACGUUAUGGUGGGGACUCAGUGGAGACCGCCGGGGUCAACUCGGAGGAAGGUGGGGAUGACGUCAAGUCAUCAUGCCCCUUAUGUCCAGGGCUUCACGCAUGCUACAAUGGCUGGUACAGAGAGUGGCGAGCCUGUGAGGGUGAGCGAAUCUCGGAAAGCCGGUCUCAGUUCGGAUUGGGGUCUGCAACUCGACCUCAUGAAGUCGGAGUCGCUAGUAAUCGCAGAUCAGCAACGCUGCGGUGAAUACGUUCCCGGGGCU